CCCCAUCUUAAAUUUCAGACCGGGCGUACUCCAAUUGUAAAACCCUCAAGAGAAAGAAGCAGCGAGACAAAGGUAGGGUUUUUCGGGCAGCUCGUAAACGCGACAAUGCCGGAUGAACAAGCUUCAGAGUCCUCGCAAGACAUGAAAUUUGAACGGGCUUCCGCCGCCGACCCCAUAACGGAGGCCUCAAAGAACAGUGACGGAGAUGCUGUGAAGCGCCCCCGGGAAGACGAUGAUGAGGAAGCGAAAAAACAGAAGAAACCGAAGGUCGACAAUGAAAUAGUGGAAAAGAAAGAAGGGUCGGAGUCGGGAGGUGUCAGUGUGGGUCCGAAGACAUUCGGCUCAUCCGAGGAUAUGUUUGAAUACUUCUAUAAGAUUCUUCAUUUCUGGACUCCCAAUCUUAAUAUCAAUAAGUAUGAGCACAUGGUGUUGUUGGAAUUGCUCAAGAAGGGUCAUUUGGAGCCUGAGAAAAAGAUUGGUAAUGGGAUUGAAGCAUUCCAAGUCCGAUACCAUCAUCAGUUCAAAAGUCGAUGCUUUUUCCUCGUAAGGGAUGAUGGAUCUAUUGAUGAUUUCAGCUUCAGAAAGUGUGUGGAUCGCAUACUACCCCUGCCAGAAAACAUGCAAAUAAAACACGAUGUCAACAAAGCAUUGCGCGGAAAAGGAGGUGGCCGUGGACGUGGCAGAGGAGGAAGAAAUUGAGGUUGUUGUCUCUGUUUUUGUUUUCUAUCGACUUAAGUAACAGAAUUUCGGGUCAUAGAAACAUGUACUAUUGAGUAAUCCAAAUUCUGGCUUUUGAUGCACUUCGAUUUUUUUUUUUUCUUUUCUUGGUGAAAUAUAAGUGUUAUCUCGAUUGAGUUAAUUGUCAAGAUUUUCUCAGUAGCAAGAAGUUCAUUUAGCACAGAACUGGACAAGAAAUUCUUCUUUGUUUCUGGUAUAAAGAGUACUCUGUUUGACGAUGUUCA